AUAAACGCUGGCGGCGCACAUAAGACAUGCAAGUCGAACGGAAGUCGUUAUAAAAAGGAUUGAAGAUUUAUCUGAUUGAGAUUUUAUAACAAUGGCUUUAGUGGCGGACUGGUGAGUAACGCGUGAGCAACCUGCCUACUAGAGGGGAAUAACAGUGAGAAAUCAUUGCUAAUACCGCAUAUGCCAUGAACAUCACAUGAUGAAAAUGGGAAAAGAGCAAUCUGCUAGUAGAUGGGCUCGCGUCUGAUUAGAUAGUUGGUGGGGUAACGGCCUACCAAGUCAACGAUCAGUAGCCGGACUGAGAGGUUGAACGGCCACAUUGGGACUGAGAUACGGCCCAGACUCCUACGGGAGGCAGCAGUCGGGAAUAUUGCGCAAUGGAGGAAACUCUGACGCAGUGACGCCGCGUAUAGGAAGAAGGUUUUCGGAUUGUAAACUAUUGUCGUUAGGGAAGAUAAAAGACAGUACCUAAGGAGGAAGCUCCGGCUAACUACGUGCCAGCAGCCGCGGUAAUACGUAGGGAGCAAGCGUUAUCCGGAUUUAUUGGGUGUAAAGGGUGCGUAGACGGGAUAACAAGUUAGUUGUGAAAGCCCUCGGCUUAACUGAGGAACUGCAACUAAAACUAUUAUUCUUGAGUGUUGGAGAGGAAAGUGGAAUUCCUAGUGUAGCGGUGAAAUGCGUAGAUAUUAGGAGGAACACCAGUGGCGAAGGCGGCUUACUGGACGAUAACUGACGCUGAGGCUCGAAAGCGUGGGGGGCAAACAGGAUUAGAUACCCUGGUAGUCCACACCGUAAACGAUGGAUACUAGGUGUAGGAAAUGAUUUCAUUUUCUGUGCCGUCGCAAACGCAAUAAGUAUCCCACCUGGGGAGUACGGCCGCAAGGUUGAAACUCAAAGGAAUUGACGGGGGCCCGCACAAGCAGUGGAGUAUGUGGUUUAAUUCGAAGCAACGCGAAGAACCUUACCAGGGCUUGACAUAUAGAUGAAUAACUAAGAGAUUAGUUAGUCCUUCGGGACAUCUAUACAGGUGGUGCAUGGUUGUCGUCAGCUCGUGUCGUGAGAUGUUAGGUUAAGUCCUGCAACGAGCGCAACCCCUGUGAUUAGUUACCAACAGGUAAAGCUGGGAACUCUAAUCAGACUGCCGGUGAUAAAUCGGAGGAAGGUGGGGAUGACGUCAAAUCAUCAUGCCCUUUAUGUCCUGGGCUACACACGUACUACAAUGGCUGUAACAGAGAGAAGCAACACCGCGAGGUAGAGCGAAACUCCAAAAGCAGUCUCAGUUCGGAUUGAAGGCUGAAAUUCGCCUUCAUGAAGCCGGAAUUGCUAGUAAUGGCAGGUCAGCAUACUGCCGUGAAUACGUUCCCGGGCCUUGUACACACCGCCCGUCACACCAUGAGAGUUGGGAAUACCCGAAGCCUGUGAGCCAACUGUAAAGAGGCAGCAGUCGAAGGUAGAAUCAAUGAUUGGGGUG
rnacentral:rRNA from 1 species